rnacentral:misc_RNA from 1 species
GAUGAAGAACGUAGCGAAAUGCGAUAAGUAAUGUGAAUUGCAGAAUUCAGUGAAUCAUCGAAUCUUUGAACGCACAUUGCGCCCGCCAGUAUUCUGGCGGGCAUGCCUGUUCGAGCGUCAUUUCAACCCUCAAGCCCCCGGGCUUGGUGUUGGGGAUCGGCGUGCCCUCGCGGCGCGCCGUCCCCUAAAUCUAGUGGCGGUCUCGCUGUAGCUUCCUCUGCGUAGUAGCAACACUCGCACUGGAUCGCAGCGCGGCCACGCCGUUAAACCCCCCACUUCUGAAAGUUUGACAUCGGAUCAGGUAGGAAUACCCGCUGAACUUAAGCAUAUCAAUAAGCGGAGGA